rnacentral:rRNA from 1 species
UUGGACAUUGCAGCGAGCAGCAUGCCCGGAGAUCUCAGUCAAUGGAUAAUGAAGCACUAUGAACCUGAGAUGUUGCAGAUUGUUAUACCAGAUAGGGGGAAGAUCCCCGUAGAUGCAGCUAGUUUCCAUAGGAUAUGGGGGCUGCUUAACAAGGGGAGGAAGGUGUGCUACGAGAUUCAGCCUGAAAUUACAAAGGUGUUCUACAGGAUCUACAACAUCCAAGGCAAGAAUGCGACAACUCUCAUUUCAUUGUGUAAAAUGAUUCAAGAUAUGGCCUGA